GCAGAUUUCCAGAUGCUCAUCAGUCAUGGUGGAACGGUACUUGGAUUUAAUGAUCUUCAUGUGGGAAAAGGCUGACUCACAUAAAUAAGUGGAGCCAAAUAAUGCGGUCAAAAAGGUAGCACAUUUCCUGAUGUUGGGGUACUUGUCCUCUGGGAGUAAGUUCCAGAAUUGUCCAUGAGCUCUGGCCUUCAGCUGAAUGUCGCAACAACUCAGAGUGGUCGCACUCAGCCUUCUCCAGCUGUGCACGGAACAGCCGUCUUUGAAGAGAUCUGGCCCGAAUUGAGCAGGCGAUCUUUGUUGCCACAUCCAUUAUCUCUUUCAUGUUGAGCAUUUUUGCACAUAAUGCUUGUUGGUGUAUAAUACAGUGGUAAUUGAGAAAGUCUGGAAAAUCAUCAUCCUCCCUGCACUUGGUGAUAAAUCCAUUCGAGCGGCCAAACAUGGCGGGUGCGCCAUCUGUGGUUAUGGACACCAAUUUGCAGACUGGGAGGUGGGUUUUCUCAAUAACGUUUUUGAAA